AGAAUUCCCAUAGCGGUGAAGUGAUAGAUUCCUGGUUGACUGAUGGGCUUCGAAAGGGCGGUGUAAAUGUAAUGAAGAUCGUGAAUCUCUGGUGGGGAGACAAGCAGAGAUAUGGCAAAAAUACAGAACAGUCUUAGGAAAAUCAUCUUGGUACCAAUUUCUCAAUCGAUAAACCAAGGAAAUAGUACAGUGUGCACUUGAGUGUUUCCGUAAAAAUACGAAACGUAUUUUCCCGUCCGAUCCGAAGA